UUUGAGUGAACUCCAGGGGUUGAUGAUGGACAGGGAGGCCUGGCGUGCUGAAGUCAUAGGGUCUCAAAGAGUCGGACAUGACUGAGCAAUUGAAUUGAACUGAACUGAACUGCUAGAUAAUAUUCCAUCAUAUGUGUGUACAACAAUUUUUAAAUAUCUAUUUAUUUUACUGCCUUGGGUGUUAGUUGCAUCGUAUGGGAUCUUUCUUCACUUGGGAUGAUGUGACUCGAGUUGCCCUGCUGCAUGUGGGAUCUUAGUUCUCCAAUCAGGGAUGGAACCUGUGCCUCUUUUGUUGGAAGACAGAUUCUUAACCCCUGGAUCACAAGGGAAUUCUCUCAGUGUACCCAUUUUACAGAUGAGGAGACCGAGGCCAGAGAGAUGGUAUAACUUAGUGACACACAAUCAGUAAGGGUCGGACUCAAUCCUGUGGGGUCAGUAGUGGGAUUUCAUCCAGUGGUAAAGCUGUUCUGGGUCCCUUCCAUCUGCCAAGUUCAGCCCAAGUGGAGUGAAACCCAAGUGGGGUGAUAAGGGUCCCAUGGAGAGUCCACCAGUGACCAGUGAAGGCAGUCCAUGGACAGAACAGCCACCACUGCAUUUGACCCAUGUGACCCCCUGCAGGGCGUCACCCAGCCCAUCUCCUCCAUUUACUCAGUAACUACUUAUUGAGAGCCCACUGAGUGCCAGGCUCUGCACUGGCCCUGGGAGCUCAGCAGAUGAGGACCAUAAGAGCCCCCAGCUCGUGGAGCUGGCGCAGGGUGAGCAGGCACGGGGCUGUGGCCACUAAAAUGAGCCAAAUCAUACGGUAUGUUAGAAAGAUGUGCUCUGGAGAAAAAUAAAGUGGUAAAGACUAGGAGUGGGCAGCUUCGCAGGUAAUCAGGUGGCCAAGGUGGGCCUUACAAAGAGUGAGGCCAGAAGACAAGGAAGGAGGGGCGGCGGAACGGAAGUGCUGGAGUGCGGCUUUCAGGGGAGGGUGCUAAGCGUCCAGGCUCAGCUGGGCUGCUCUGCUGAGAGCAGACGGUCACCUGAAGAACAGAGCAGGGAAAGCGGCAAGGAGGCCGCGGCACUGUCUGGGCAAGGGCCGGGGUGCAGGCAGCGGUCAGACCUGGCGUGAAGUGUGAGUGACGAGUCACACUCAGUGGCUCCGGGACCUGCAGAAUGGACUAGCCUUUGACUGGGGCGGAA
rnacentral:lncRNA from 1 species